rnacentral:lncRNA from 10 species
GAUUUGAGUCCUACAGGCUCAGCACUUAUGAAAAAGGAUAAAGUCCUUCCCAGCCUGGCAGGAGAAGGAAAAGCCUGUGGUGGGGGAAGGGAGUGAAGGCGUGUGCCUCCUCAUGGAACACAGGGUCGGAGUCGGCUAGGAGGGAUAAGAGUACAAUAGAGGGUUGUGUGACACAGACAGGCUGCCAGCCCUCAGCAUGGACCCGGCACAUGGAAUCUGUGAUCUUAAAAGAGUCAAGUGACUACCUUUGGCAACCAAAAGAGACACUGCCUUUUAGAAGGCAUAUCAUCUGAAACUGGCUGAAAGAGCUGUCUUACUUAGGAAGAAAAAUCUCUCCUUUGGAAAGAGCUGGAACUUUUAGUAAAACUGAACAGUGAGGUGGCGGAAGGUAAAUAUGCUGAGGCAUGUUUUCAAGGAGGGGAGAGAGAUUCCUUUUCCUCAGCCGGGCACAGAGCCAACCUGAAGUGUAGCACUGUGGUGACCUGGCGGGAUCUGCUCUCCAGUCACUCCCGAGGGCCCUUCUGGGGACAAGGAGACUUUUCUGUGCGGCCUGUUGAUUUGAGAGAGAUGAUGUCUUGCCACAUUGCCCAGGCUGGUCUCAAACUCCAGGCCUAAAGGGAUCUUAUCGAGGCUAUCAAGCUACAGAUGAUCUUACAAAUGGAACCCCAAAUGAGCUCAACUAACAACUACCAAGGACCCCUGGACCAACCCGCUGGCCCUUUCAAUGGCCUAAAGAGUUCCCCUCUGGAGGACACUACAACUGCAGGGUCCUUUCUUUGCC